UCAGUGGUAGUUCAGUGGUAGAAUUCUUGUUUUCCAUGCAGGAGGCCCGGGUUUGAUUCCCAGCCAGUGCA
rnacentral:tRNA from 1 species